rnacentral:lncRNA from 1 species
CACACCUCAAAUAACCUCUUGUUCUCCAAUCGCAAACGCGAUCCUACCAAUGCGCAUAACCGAAACAUUUUAUACACAUCCACACAUACAUGCACUGCCUACCAUCAACCAAAACAUACGUAUUGUAAACUAUAAAUCAAUCAACCUGAACAGAAUCGGAUCUGAGUUGGGCAUGCAUGUGGUUCACCCGACCGGCCUUACCUCGAACACGCGUGCGCGACGGAUGGCAUUGACGGCUAGCUGCGAUUAGACACAUACAACAGUUCAACAAUUUUUACCGAGCACAAAAUACGAUAGCAGCAAGGGCAGCGGGGUUUUCUCACCACGGGUUUCGACGGUGUCGCGGAUGGGGCUGCGCACAACACGAUGUUUUCCCACAGGCAUUCUGUCGAACAGCCAAUGGGCUUUGAGGAGAACAGUAAGGGGCGCUCAGCUAGGGGAGGGAAACAAGGGCGCCAUGGGCGACGGCGAGCUCACUGCUCGAGCUGGGGGCUGCGGGGGAAAUCCGGCUGCGAGGAGCUAUGCUGCCGGGAGAGGGAGCCGAGCAGAGACGUCGCGUCAUGGGGAGGGGACAGCAGAGCUGCUGGGCGUCAUGGGGAUAGGCUCCUGCUGUGCCUGCUCGGACUCCAAGCUGCCGGGGGGGUGGAGAACCAGCAGGGAGCUGCACGGCUGGGAAAUAGGGGCGCCAUGCUGAAGAAAGGGAAAGUGCAGGGGGGCUCGACCAUGGGAGGAAGAAGGUGUGGGCUGCACAGGGGCAUCGAGCUCCCUGCUCUGAAUGCCGGGGAGAAGAGGGAGCGCUGGGCAGAGGAAGAAGAAGGGGGAGGGGAUGAGGAGCCGGCCUGUUCUCCUGCAGGGAGCGAGCGCCAGGGAGGAGGGCGCCAUGGUGGCCGAGCCUGCAACGCUGCGGCCAAACCAGAGAUGGCUGCACCUUGCGCCAUGCUCCAUUGGAGGAGACAGCAGGGGCGCGGGGCAGGCAGGAAUGAGGGCGUCGCAGGGCGCCUUGCUGUGCGAAGGAGGAGCAGAGAGCGCGGCGGCCACCAUGGCUGGGCCGUGGAGCAGAGGGAGGCGCCAUGGCUGCUGGCCCAGCUUCCUGCGCGGUGGCAGCUGCUGCCAUGGAGCAGGGAGGAAGGAGCUGGCGGCUGGAAUUUUUGAGGGGUGGGAAUGGAAAAUUGCCAAGGGCAAGGGGAGAGGGGUUCGUAUUUAUAGAGAAACCCUAGGGUUAGGGUUUCAAAUGGGCCUAAUUGGGUUGGGUUGGGCUGGCCCAAACACGAAAUUGGGCUGCGCUAAUUUAUUUUCCGGAAUAAAAAUGUUCCUGCGGAUUUCGUCUGUGUAAAAACAGAGCGAGCUGGAGUUUGGACGAACGAAAGAUUGAGCGAUUAACUCGGCCGAGAGUUUGAUUUGAUUUCGCUCGGCAAUAAUUUCCUACGCAUGAUUCGAAACUAAAUUGUCUCGGGAUACGACCAGCUUUCGGAUUUUUGAUUGAAAGAGACAAAUCACGACCUUUAAAAUCAUCGUCGAUGUUGAUUUUUAAAUUGGGAUCGAACACAGAGGUAUGAAGUCGAGUCGGAUAAGAAUUAAGUAGAGGGCGACAUAUUGAGUAUCCCGUUGGAGAAUACGGACCCGGAUAAAAUAGUCGAACAUAGAUCGAAGUUUCGAGGAAUUAGAUUCAGGCUCAGAUCAGAUAACAGUCGUCGAGAGUUUGAUUUAAAGAGCUUCAGACAGGAUUUAUAAUUCGAGAAUGAUCUUCGAGUCUGCAUUAGUUCCGAGAAUUAAAAGUUUUAACACGCUCCAAAAUUGGCUGUUUCUCACGAUCGAUUAACUCUGAAUUCGGUGAACUUCCAAGAGAAAGCCUGAUAAACAGAGAUAGACACGAUUGAGAAAUAGAAAUUUUUACUAAGCAUCCGAGAUUAGGAUUAAUCUCCCGACAUAACGCGAAAUAGACACCUGGGGUGUCACAGCCUUCCCCCCUUAAACAGAAUCUCAUCCCGAGAUUCGAAUGAGGAUCUUCAAGGGUGGAGAAGCAUGUAACUCCCAGGCUGGAGAUAGAUGCAAAUUCAGGAGAUGGGAUCUGACAAGAUACGGAAGAUAGAUUUUGAUAGAAUAUCGCGGCAUGUUGAGACAAAAUGCAGCGAUCACUUUGAGAGGAUGUUCACAAAAGAGAGCACAUCGGUAUAGUCCCAUAAUGGAUCACGACUAUUAAGCGCGGUACCAGCGCGUGCCGAGCAGCUCAACCAUGUGUGCACCAUAGUAGGCUCUCGGUGUCGUCGCGGCACCAUCGGUCGUUAGUCAUAACACCAUUACCAAACCAACCAAUGAGAAAUCCACAUAGCACAGAUAGAUGGAGCCCAUGAGAGUAUGGCUCAGAAAAUAAGAAUGUGACCGGAGCUAAAGCAGAGAUUGUUUGCAAAAGAGCAUCACAUGAAAAUUUUCUUCCACUCAGAGAAUUAUUUUAUGAUCAACACGGGGAUUAUCAGUCCAAGAUUGAUACGACAUUUGAUAUGAGGAGGAACCAACCAUGAGAUCAAGAUUGACCACUUGCCGAGACAUGAGAGAACUAAAGACAAAAGCAAAAUCCAUUGAACCGAAUGGACACACUGUUUAUAGAUAAAAUUGAUAAAACGGCGUCGUGAUCCUCGGAGGAGGGGGUUUGAGAAUGACCAGAAUUGAGAGAUUCAGGCAGAUCAACAUCCAACACUUGAGAACGGGUUAUAGCAGAUAACCAGAUAACGGGGCAGAAUCAUUAAGGGAUCCAGAGAUUCGGAUGAUAAGGCCACAACAUGAUUCACAAGGAAAGAGAGUACUAGAUCCAGGUGAAAAGAGAGGUCGUCAACAAGAUCAGCUGGAUGAUCAACAGGAAUGCUAUGAAGUUUUAGGGGCAAGGAUUUAUGGAAAGAAACAUGGCCUUGAUAGGGUUUGCGCAACUAAACACUAACAACCCUUUUUUUUACACCACAAGUGCACAAGGAGACUUGGGUUGGUCUAGUGGUCAAGUUAUGGGGGUUUACAAGUUGUGCAGGUGAUACCUCAAGGGUAAAACACUCAAGAGGGCUAGAAAAUACCAACACAAGUAGGAUUUGUUUUUUUUUUGCAAAAAGGGUUGAACAAUUAUAAUACUACCUAGAUAGCAAGACAGGAGAAACACAUAACACAACCUAACAAGACAUACCCAUCUGACACGAGGUAAGGCAUUUCUAACAUAGCAGUACAUCACAUUAUUCACAAGUUCUUAUUAUUGGAAUAAAGGUGAGAGAAGCAUAUUGAUGCACGAGAGGCAAUCAUAAUGCGACAAUCAUGAUGCAUGCUCAUUCUAGUCGUCUUCUCAGACCUAACUAAUUUUUUUCGGAUGCUUUUACAGCAUCCUUAUUAAUAGUAGUAGCCAUUAUGGCCUAUAUAAAUAUAGCCACCUAGCUACCCAUCUAUUUUCCUAAGGCUUCACGUCCUAGGUCUAUCCUGAUCGUCCUGACGAUCUAUCCAACAUUGGUUUCUAGCAAGUUUUACCUUUAGAAAAGGUUGGUAAUCAUGACUUAUUGACUUCUCUGUGAUGGUAUUCGCUCCAAUACCAGCUGUGGCGGAACCGCCCAAAUUAUUCCGGCUUAAGUGCCCAAGUCGCACCCUUAAGGGCAGCAACACACUUAAACAGGAAUAACCCGUCAGUCCCUCGGAUCUAGUCCGAUAAAGCCACUUACAAGGAUCGAAUACCACUAGCUCACACGAAGGUGAGGCAUAGAGAAAUACAAUAAAAAAUAAUACCACAAUUUUAAUAAGUAUCAUUAGUAAUUACAUUAUCGGAGUUUCAGAAAUAAUAACCAUAAAUUUUAAUGCAGCGGAAAUAACUAACGGAGAAAACCGAGUAACAUGGCGAAGCCUGGCCACACUACUCCUCCUGGUCCUCUCCUGCGGAAGCAGUAACCCACUCGACCGUCUGUCCUGGUGGCAGGGACGAAGGCCAAGUCACACCAUCAACCAAUCAUCCUAAGGAGUACCUGCAAAAAUUGUGCCACAAGCAAGGCUGAGUAUACUAAUACUCAGCUAGACUUACCCGGUGUGAGGAGUCUACUCCUCUACCUCUAGACAUGCAGCUGUUUGGCUGAGGGGUUUGGUUUGCCAAAAGCACUAGCUAAGUCUAAAAUCAAGUUUUAGCUUUUCAAGUUUUAGUACGAUCCUUUUAACUAAGUGAGUACCUAGCUACUCAUACAUGAUAUCAAACAUUUUUAGCAAUCAACAUCUUUUUCCAGUCACCUCAUUUCCACUUAUUACUCAAUGCAGCUGCAUGGAUCAAGCAGUCUCAUUAGCUGUGAGAAGCAGACGAUUCGAAUCGAGUUUUUAAACCUUGCAAGGUAAACCUAAACACACGACAUGUAGGGGCACUCCGUCCCCACACACAUCAACCGUCCCCAUCGAUUCCCCGUAAGCAGAUCAGGGCUCACCACCUUGGCGUACAAUGCCUCACUGACCCCGACUGCCGUCGUGCAGUGACCGCACUUGUACCCACCAUAACCGGAAUGGGAGACCAUGUCUCAGGUCGCGUGAGGGGCAAAGUCUACUGCCAGGUUCAAUCAGGUACUAGGCUUACCGAUUUACCAUAUUUCUCGGCAUGUGUUUAGUACGUUCAAAAGCUUGACACACGGUACCACACCUUAAUCCUUAUUCCAAUUUCAUCUCGUAGACCACGCAUCCCCAUGGAUCUGUGUCCACAGACAACAUCAUUCUGAUAUAAAAAUGGAUACAUUCAAUUCCUGACCUCGCGCGAGUGCUAGAAAAAUCACUCGACUUCUACCAAGAUCCCUAAUUAGUAAAGCAGCUACUCGACCUAGCAUACUAGUAUCCAUCUCAAAGGGAAUCCUGAGUUCAUGCAACUAGGGUUUCAGGCAACUCCUACACAUAAGUGCACAGUACAAGCCUACAAACAUUAAGUGCAGUAAAAUAGCAUAUAUAUAACGGUUAUGCAUAAAACCGGGGCUUGCCUUUAAUUUAACACUUCUUAGAUAGUGUUUGCUGGGGUGGCACUCGCUUGGCGAGCAUCCACUGGUUAUGUCCAUCCUUCCUUGGGUCGUCCACCGACUGCACCUUGUGGUUGGCACCACAUCACUUGCACGAUCGUCUCUCGGUCCUAAAUGAGAUGCAAGAUGCAUAUGUAUGAAUAUAAUGAAAAAUAUCACAAGAUACUGCAAGUACAUGAUAGCGAACUAAGCAUUAAUUAGUAAAACACUGCAACGACUAUACGCACGCGCUAGCUAGUCGUACGUUAUCGACAUUCAUCCUUAACACCAUUAAAAAGACGACGACAUUUUGGGUAUUUACGCAACACAAUACUACAUCACAAUUAACUAGAGAAAGAAACGUAUAAAAACAUGACACAUAUAUUAUCUCAAGCUUAGCCAUGGCAAUUCUAUGUGAAUUUAGUGCCAACCAAUCAUUUUUAGCCAAAAGGGUGAACUAACAAUUAAAUGAGUGCUUGCAGAUUUUUGGGACAGCAGCACAACAGUUACUUGUUUUAAUCAUAACUUUUCAAAUAUUAAUCCAAACAUAGCAAACUAGGACUUUCUGGAAAGCUUAAAAUGUUCUCUACAACUUUGGUAUUUUUACCUCAACAAGAUUCAACACUUAGCAAGGUUAAAAGUGCUAACACAACAGAUCUGUCCAGAUUUGGACAGAUUCAGACUUGUGAAUUUAAAAAUUCAUAACUAAAGAUUCAGACAUCCAAACAAAGUGAUUUCAGACUUUUUGGAAAGAUAAUUAAAUGUUCUACAAAUUAUUUAUAAACAUCAUUGGCUAGUUUAAUAUGUAUCAAGAGUAAAAUACACUAUGAAGGCUGUGCUGUCCAGAACUGGACAGAUUCAGUCUUCAGACUUUAAACAUCCAUAACUUAAUCUUUAGACCACCAAAAAUAGUGAUCCAAGACUUUUUGGAAAGCUCAGCAAAAGCACUACAUAACUUUUAUAAUCACCAAGAAUUGAUUCCAGGUUUAUGCAAACCAAACGUUACAGUUUUCAAAAUCUGUUCUGAUAGUGGACAGAACACAGCAAUCAAUUUGUAAAAUUCAUAACUCUUAAACCGUCAGGCCUUUAGUUAUGAAAUUCUAACACAAGCAAGAUAAGAAAAGUAUCUACAACUUUCUUAUAAUCGACAAGGACUGAUUUUAAUAUUACAUUAGGCAAACAAUGCGGUUUCUGAAAUAUGUACAGAAUUUGGACAGAUUCAGUUACUGAAUUUGUAAAAACCAUAACUCCUAAACGAUCAGACUUAUGCCUGUCAAAUUUUAACACCGGCAAGAUAAUAAAGUUAUCUACCAUUUUUCUAUAGCACAUAUCUACAGAAAACACAAUUUAGUUCAUAAAACAUACCGCACGACAAAAACAGCGCGUGCAGCCCAAAAUAGCAAUUACUAAAAUUCAGCUUCUAUACAAUUCAAGAAUUUCCGCAUUUUAGAGACUUGACUUACUCUAACUUAGAUCAAGACACACUUAAACAUAGUCACAUAAUAGGUGACGUGACGGCUACGUAGUCAUGCCAUCACUUCACCACACAUCGCAAACAUAGACUAAUCCAAUCAUACUUCACAUGGCAAUUAUACAGAGUUGCAGAGGGACAAUAUUAACACAUAGGUAAGCGACAUUUCUUCACGACUCUCGGCUAAGUCACCAAACAGACGACAUGAUGAAUACGAAGGCAUGUCACCAUUUCAUCACACACAUUCAUCUCCUAUAUGCGCACUAAUCCAUUUCUUGCGACAUAUGUACUCAAAAUCAAUCCACACUACACAAGUACACUUAUCUCUUAUUUAUGCACAAACUUAACACCUUUCGGGAUAAAGUGUCACUAUAAACACCUUACACAUAAUUGCUUUAGGAACUUAUUAGUUUACUCGAAAACAUCUAUUCAAGUCAUAAACACAAGCAUACACUCAUUUGUGAAGCAAAAUUUAAGAAACGCCUAACGUGUAAAGACUCGACUUAUAAUUAUAGAGGAAGUGAUGACUACUUACGGCAUGUCAUCACCUCUCUAUAUAAGCCAAAACAAUUUCUACUAUCGACCAAGAGUUCUAAGUAUUAAACACACUGUUACUUUCCACGCGCAAAUCAACCUCAACUUAACACUAGUGACCCCGAUGGAUUCUUACUAAACUCAUCAUGCGCACAACCUUGUCUCGCAUACAACCAUAUCAUGGCGUGCACUCGAGACACAUCAAUCAAUGUGGCGCGACCACUAAUAUAUGAACUCCGAUACUCAUGUUUUAAUAAUUCAUCCUAUACGCAACUAGCUUUUCCUAACUACUCAUCACAACAAUAAAUAUACUCCCUAUAUAAUCAUGAAUCCCAUCACGUUGCAAUAAACAAUUAUACUUUUCGCAUAACCACAUAUCGAUACAUUUCCCAAAACAUAAUCCGCAUUUUGUAACUUAGUUUUUCGCAUCAAACAACGCAUUGCAUAUUUUCUUCCUACCAAGAUAUAAAAACAUCGGAGUUCUUUUCUACUUCAUUUUCCUCUCUACACGCUUCCAUCCAUACAAAUGUAUUUUCACACAAAUAAUCACACAUGCACACCAUCGACCAAAACAUAAUUAGAAUAACUACAAAUCGCACACCUCAAAUAACCUCUUGUUCUCCAAUCGCAAACGCGAUCCUACCAAUGCGCAUAACCGAAACAUUUUAUACACAUCCACACAUACAUGCACUGCCUACCAUCAACCAAAACAUACGUAUUGUAAACUAUAAAUCAAUCAACCUGAACGGAAUCGGAUCUGAGUUGGGCAUGCAUGUGGUUCACCCGACCGGCCUUGCCUCGAACACGCGUGCGCGACGGAUGGCAUUGACG